GUGAAUCAUCGAAUUUUUGAACGCAAAUUGCACUCCCUGGUAUUCCGGGGAGUAUGCCUGUUUGAGGGUCGUUAGAAUAAAACAUCGAUGCGUCGCUCUUUUUUUUAAGGGUGAUCGCGUCGGAAUUGAGCCGUGCUUCAAAUGUUAAUUCAUGUAAAAGUGGCUUGAAAUUGAUGCAUCAGGUACGAUUUAAGCGUAUUUAAGAUCAAUUUUGUUUUAGGAUGCGCGA
rnacentral:misc_RNA from 1 species